CGUCUAUUUGAUAGUACCUUACUACUUGGAUAACCGUGGUAAUUCUAGAGCUAAUACAUGCUGAAAACCCCGACUUCGGAAGGGAUGUAUUUAUUAGAUUAAAAACCAAUGCCCUUCGGGGCUCCCUGGUGAUUCAUGAUAACUUCUCGAAUCGCACGGCCUUGCGCCGGCGAUGGUUCAUUCAAAUUUCUGCCCUAUCAACUUUCGACGGCUGGGUCUUGGCCAGCCGUGGUGACAACGGGUAACGGAGGGUUAGGGCUCGACCCCGGAGAAGGAGCCUGAGAAACGGCUACUACAUCCAAGGAAGGCAGCAGGCGCGCAAAUUACCCAAUCCCGACACGGGGAGGUAGUGACAAUAAAUACUGAUACAGGGCUCUUUUGGGUCUUGUAAUUGGAAUGAGUACAAUUUAAUUCCCUUAACGAGGAACAAUUGGAGGGCAAGUCUGGUGCCAGCAGCCGCGGUAAUUCCAGCUCCAAUAGCGUAUAUUAAAGUUGUUGCAGUUAAAAAGCUCGUAGUUGAACCUUGGGCCUGGCUGGCCGGUCCGCCUCACCGCGUGCACUGGUCCGGCCGGGCCUUUCCCUCUGGGGAGCCGCAUGCCCUUCACUGGGCGUGCCGGGGAACCAGGACGUUUACUUUGAAAAAAUUAGAGUGUUCAAAGCAGGCUUAUGCUCGGAUACAUUAGCAUGGAAUAAUAGAAUAGGACGUGCGGUUCUAUUUUGUUGGUUUCUAGGACCGCCGUAAUGAUUAAUAGGGACAGUCGGGGGCAUCAGUAUUCAGUUGUCAGAGGUGAAAUUCUUGGAUUUACUGAAGACUAACUACUGCGAAAGCAUUUGCCAAGGAUGUUUUCAUUAAUCAGGAACGAAAGUUAGGGGAUCGAAGACGAUCAGAUACCGUCGUAGUCUUAACCAUAAACUAUGCCGACUAGGGAUCGGACGGUGUUAUUUUUUGACCCGUUCGGCACCUUACACGAAAGUACAAG
rnacentral:rRNA from 1 species